UACGUAGGGUGCAAGCGUUGUCCGGAAUUAUUGGGCGUAAAGAGCUCGUAGGCGGUCUGUCGCGUCGGCUGUGAAAACCCGGGGCUCAACCCCGGGCCUGCAGUCGAUACGGGCAGACUAGAGUGCGGUAGGGGAGAAUGGAAUUCCCGGUGUAGCGGUGAAAUGCGCAGAUAUCGGGAGGAACACCGGUGGCGAAGGCGGUUCUCUGGGCCUUACCUGACACUGAGGAGCGAAAGCGUGGGGAGCGAACAGG
rnacentral:rRNA from 1 species